rnacentral:rRNA from 1 species
GACGAACGCUGGCGGCGCGCCUAACACAUGCAAGUCGAACGGAGUCAAGAGGAGCUUGCUUUUCUUGACUUAGUGGCGCACGGGUGAGUAACGCGUGAGUAACCUGCCCUGGAGUGGGGGACAACAGUUGGAAACGACUGCUAAUACCGCAUAAGCCCACGGAUCCGCAUGGAUCUGCGGGAAAAGGAUUUAUUCGCUUCAGGAUGGACUCGCGUCCAAUUAGCUAGUUGGUGAGGUAACGGCCCACCAAGGCGACGAUUGGUAGCCGGACUGAGAGGUUGAACGGCCACAUUGGGACUGAGACACGGCCCAGACUCCUACGGGAGGCAGCAGUGGGGGAUAUUGCACAAUGGGGGAAACCCUGAUGCAGCGACGCCGCGUGGAGGAAGAAGGUUUUCGGAUUGUAAACUCCUGUCGUUAGGGACGAUAAUGACGGUACCUAACAAGAAAGCACCGGCUAACUACGUG